GGCAUGGUGGCUUAGUGGUUAAGAUGUUUGCCUUGCACCUCCAAGGUUGGGGGUGUUGAAUCCCACCUCUGCCU